rnacentral:rRNA from 1 species
AACGAACGCUGGCGGCAGGCUUAACGCAUGCAAGUCGAGCGCCCCGCAAGGGGAGCGGCAGUCGGGUGAGUAACGCGUGGGAAUCUACCCAUCUCUACGGAAUAACGCAUGGAAACGUGUGCUAAUACCGUAUACGUCCUUCGGGAGAAAGAUUUAUCGGAGAUGGAUGAGCCCGCGUUGGAUUAGCUAGUUGGUGGGGUAAAGGCCUACCAAGGCGACGAUCCAUAGCUGGUCUGAGAGGAUGAUCAGCCACACUGGGACUGAGACACGGCCCAGACUCCUACGGGAGGCAGCAGUGGGGAAUAUUGGACAAUGGGCGCAAGCCUGAUCCAGCCAUGCCGCGUGAGUGAUGAAGGCCCUAGGGUUGUAAAGCUCUUUCACCGGUGAAGAUAAUGACGGUAACCGGAGAAGAAGCCCCGGCUAACUUCGUGCCAGCCGCCGCGGUAAUAC